rnacentral:rRNA from 1 species
UACGGGGGGGGCAAGCGUUGUUCGGAAUUAUUGGGCGUAAAGAGCUCGUAGGCGGUUUGUCGCGUCUGCUGUGAAACUCGGGGCUUAACCCCGGGCCUGCAGUGGGUACGGGCAGACUAGAGUGCGGUAGGGGAGACUGGAAUUCCUGGUGUAGCGGUGAAAUGCGCAGAUAUCAGGAGGAACACCGGUGGCGAAGGCGGGUCUCUGGGCCGUAACUGACGCUGAGGAGCGAAGCAUGGGGAGCGAACAGG